CCGAGAGUGUGGAAACUGAGGCGUUGCGGAGACGACAGAGAGACGCUGAAACGAGUGGCGCCGGAGAAUCUCAAGGCGGAGAUGCACGGCCGAAUCGACGACGCCAUCGGAACCAUCGGAAUCGCGAGAUUUAUGCGUGUAUCUAUAGGUUUAGGUGUGUGUGUAUAGGUUUUAGUGGAAAGAGAGUGAAUGAGAGAUGGAAUAGAUAGAUGAUGCUAUGGGUUUAUUCUUUGCUCAGCU
rnacentral:lncRNA from 1 species